rnacentral:rRNA from 1 species
GAUGAACGCUGGCGGCGUGCCUAAUACAUGCAAGUCGAGCGAAUGGAUUAAGAGCUUGCUCAUGAAGUUAGCGGCGGACGGGUGAGUAACACGUGGGUAACCUGCCCAUAAGACUGGAAUAACUCCGGGAAACCGGGGCUAAUACCGGAUAACAUUUUGAACCGCAUGGUUCGAAAUUGAAAGGCGGCUUCGGCUGUCACUUAUGGAUGGACCCGCGUCGCAUUAGCUAGUUGGUGGGGUAACGGCUCACCAAGGCAACGAUGCGUAGCCGACCUGAGAGGGUGAUCGGCCACACUGGGACUGAGACACGGCCCAGACUCCUACGGGAGGCAGCAGUAGGGAAUCUUCCGCAAUGGACGAAAGUCUGACGGAGCAACGCCGCGUGAGUGAUGAAGGCUUUCGGGUCGUAAAACUCUGUUGUUAGGGAAGAACAAGUGCUAGUUGAAUAAGCUGGCACCUUGACGGUACCUAACCAGAAAGCCACGGCUAACUACGUGCCAGCCGCCGCGGUAA